rnacentral:lncRNA from 1 species
CUCAGAUGGAGGAGCUGGAGGUGACCAGACAGAGGAACAACAUCUCUGACACCAGCAGCGCUGCUGGGAUUCCAUCACUGCUUUGUGACUUUGGCCACAUUCUUCCACACCCCUGACUUUGACAUUCAUCCAGUUCCCAUGCUCUGGAAGCUGGUGGAAGGAGGGCUCUCUCCUUUUCUUGUCCUGUCACCAAAACUCCCCCGACUGCCUUGCUCUGCACGGCUCUGUGAUGUUGGAAACAGCCUGGCAGCCAAAAACACAGAAGCCAUGAGACCAAACAAACAAAGACAACCUGCCAAGUGAUCAGCUCCAAGGAGGAACGGGAAUUUCUCCCUGAGGACAGCAGAAGGAUCCAGCUCCAGCUACCCUGGAACAAUGCAGGGUCCUGCUACUGAAUAUAGAAGGCCCAAAUAACUAAGCACAAGACAAAAUAAACCUGUGAGGGCAAUCA